UACAGAGGGGCGGAGCGUUAUUCGGAAUUAUUUGGGCGUAAAGGGCGCGUAGGCGGCCUUUCAAGUGACGGGUGAAAUCCCUCGGCUUAACCGAGGAACUGCCUGUCAGACUGGAAGGCUUGAGACCGGGAGAGGUGAGUGGAACUGCGAGUGUAGAGGUGAAAUUCGUAGAUAUUCGCAAGAACACCAGUGGCGAAGGCGGCUCACUGGCCCGGUACUGACGCUGAGGUGCGAAAGCGUGGGGAGCAAACAGG
rnacentral:rRNA from 1 species